UUUUGUCGAAAUAAACUAUAUUGCCAUGGAAACAUAUGUGGUGGCAAUAAUUCAUUUUGCAACAGACAAUAUUACGUUAUCACAGAUUCUAUGGCAACACAAUUUGUAUCAAACCAAAUCCAAUGUAGCAAAAAUUGAAUUUUUCAAAUUCGUCUCUGGUAGAGAUAAUACAAUAUAGCCAAACAUCUAACAGAUCGACAAUACAAUAUAGCCAAAUAUCUAUCAGAUCGACAACCUUUACUACCUAUGCCACAAACAAUAUGGUCCAGCAUCCAUUCAUGUUAGCAUGACAGCAUCUACCAAAAACAGCAUCCAUUCAUGUUUGCAUAACUUGAAGAGGCAAUCCAAGCUCCCCGGAUAGUCAUCGUCUUGUCUAUGAGAUUCAGGCCCGUCAUCUGCAAGCCGUUCUGCUCCUCCCCGUCAUCUCCCAC
rnacentral:lncRNA from 1 species